rnacentral:sRNA from 1 species
GUGUUCAAAAAUAUUACUGUAAUACAAGAACCAGGCAUGGUGGUAUUAGAAUGGCUGGCAAACCCUUCUAAUGAUAUGUAUGCAGAUACAGUAACAACUGUGAUAUUGGAAGUUCAGUCAAAUCCCAAAAUAAGAAAAGGUGCAGUACAGAAGGUUUCUAAAAAAUUAGAAAUGCACGUUUACAGCAAGAGGUUGGAGAUCAUGCUCCAGUAAGUUUUUCACCCUUUAUUUCUCAACAAGACAGUGACAGCGGCCGGAAGGAGCCCUGGAUUCGGCUCUGACUCCUUCAAGGACUGGGGCGUGGCUCUGGCCAGGCCACUGCCAUGCUCGGAGGCCUGCUUCUCUGUUAGGAAAGAGAGGGGCUGGAACCGUUCCCUGCCAGCUCUGCACUCACCUGUGACCUGCUAGGGACAUAUUUGGAGAAGACUGUGUAAGUGUAAAGGAUGACUCUAUUCUUAGCGUCACAGUGGACGGGAAAACUGCCAACCUUAACUUGGAGACACGGACUGUAGAAUGUGAAGAGGGAAGUGAAGACGAUGAAUCCCUCCGAGAAAUGGUGGAGCUGGCUGCACAGAGACUGUACGAGGCCCUGACGCCAGUUCACUGAGACUGUGCCUGUAUAUGGACUUUGAAAAAAUACUUGACUCUACUUCUGUUACCUAAAAUAAAAUGCAUUCGUUUCUCUGGG